rnacentral:tRNA from 1 species
GGGGAUUUAGCUCAGUGGUAGAGCGCUUGCCUAGGAAGCGCAAGGCCCUGGGUUCGAACCCCAGCUCCG